AAUAGUACAAAUACUCAUAUCAUAAUAGCAGUAUCUCAAAGCUCUAAUAUCUUUCGAAUGCACAGACACAUUUUAACAUUCAACUGAUUAAAUUUGGUUUGCAUUCAUGCAAGGUCCAACCUUUAAGCCCCCAGAUCUUAGGAGUAGUCCAACCCACUUUGACAUGGUCUCUUCCAGCCCAAGGCCUUUAUUCGUAUUAUUUUUUUGGAGAAAAUUACUUUAAUACACAACUCAACUUACCUUAUUCUCUAUUUUUUCCUAUUUUUUUUUUAAAUAUUUCAUUAAUCCCUUUUUUUAUUCUUUUAAACCCACCUCCUGGAUACAGUUCACAUCUCCUAACUCAUGUCUAUCUCCUCCGUUUUUCACUCCUCAAAUCACAUCAUAUUUUCUCUCCCAUAAUCUUAUCAGUUUAAUUUUGAAUUUGAAUUUCAAGAUAUUUCACUCUCCCGUUAAACGCUUUUCAUUACUUCUGGGUAUUACCCAGAUAAUGGCAUCUAACAUCAAUCAUAUUUAUGACCAUCAAGACACAGGUUGGGCUG